UUUGAUUUUAGUGUUGAUUAUUUGGUGAUGUUUAUGUGUAGUUUUUUUUUGUGUUAUUGGAAGAGGGUGUUGGUUAUGAUUAGUGUAUUUUUUUGGUAAAAUUUUAUUAGUUUUUGUUUUGUUUUAUUUUGUAUUUUAAGGUUAAAUUUGUUUGUUAUUUUAGGUGUUUUUUGAUUUUUUAUUUUUGUAUUUUAGUUUUUUAUAAUGAAAAGGAUAUUUUUUUUGGGUGUUAGUUUUAAAAGGUUUUGUAGGUUUUUAUAGAAUUAUUUAAUUUUAGUUUUUUUG
rnacentral:misc_RNA from 1 species